rnacentral:rRNA from 1 species
AAACUGGAGAGUUUGAUCCUGGCUCAGAACUAACGCUAGCGGCGUGCCUAACACAUGCAAGUCGUACGAGAAAGUCGGCUUCGGCUGAUGAGUAAAGUGGCGCACGGGUGAGUAACGCGUGGAUAAUCUGCCCUUUAGUCUGGAAUAACCCACCGAAAGGUGAGCUAAUACCGGAUAAUACUGAAUGAGUAACGCCAUUUAGUCAAAGAAGGCCUCUGCUUGCAAGCUUUUGCUGAAGGAUGAGUCCGCGUACCAUUAGCUAGUUGGUAGGGUAAUGGCCUACCAAGGCUUCGAUGGUUAGCUGGUCUGAGAGGAUGAUCAGCCACACUGGAACUGAGACACGGUCCAGACUCCUACGGGAGGCAGCAGUGAGGAAUAUUGCGCAAUGGGGGCAACCCUGACGCAGCAACGCCGCGUGAGUGAGGAAGGUUUUCGGACCGUAAAGCUCUGUCGAGCGGGAAGAAAUGCACCAUGGCUAAUAUCCAUGAUGCUUGACGGUACCGCUAGAGGAAGCACCGGCUAACUCCGUGCCAGCAGCCGCGGUAAUACGGGGGGUGCAAGCGUUGUUCGGAAUUAUUGGGCGUAAAGAGCGUGUAGGCGGUUGAAUAAGUCAGAUGUGAAAGUCCUGGGCUUAACCCAGGAAGUGCAUUUGAAACUGUUCAGCUGGAGUAAGGGAGAGGAAAGUGGAAUUCCUGGUGUAGAGGUGAAAUUCGUAGAUAUCAGGAGGAACACCGGCGGCGAAGGCGACUUUCUGGCCCUAUACUGACGCUGAGACGCGAAAGCGUGGGUAGCAAACAGGAUUAGAUACCCUGGUAGUCCACGCUGUAAACGAUGUUCACUAGGUGUUGGGGGUAUUGACCCUCUCAGUGCCGCAGCUAACGCAUUAAGUGAACCGCCUGGGGA